GCGUUUUUAGUUUAAUGGACAAAACACCAACUUUCUAAUUUGGUUAAUGUGGGUUCGAAUCCCUCAAAACGCA
rnacentral:tRNA from 1 species